UUAAUUUUUUGGCCGAGUGGUCUAAGGCACCAACCAUUCUUUGGAGGAAUGGGUUCGAAUCCCAUCGCCGCCCAAAAUAAA